AGCGAACGCUGGCGGCAGGCCUAACACAUGCAAGUCGAACGAACCUUUCGGGGUUAGUGGCGGACGGGUGAGUAACACGUGGGAACGUGCCUUUAGGUUCGGAAUAACUCAGGGAAACUUGUGCUAAUACCGAAUGUGCCCUUCGGGGGAAAGAUUAAUCGCCUUUAGAUCGGCCCGCGUCUGAUUAGCUAGUUGGUUGAGGUAAUGGCUCACCAAGGCGACGAUCAGUAGCUGGUCUGAGAGGAUGAUCAGCCACAUUGGGACUGAGACACGGCCCAAACUCCUACGGGAGGCAGCAGUGGGGAAUCUUGCGAAAUGGGCGAAAGCCUGACGCAGCCAUGCCGCGUGAAUGAUGAAGGUCUUAGGAUUGUAAAAUUCUUUCACCGGGGACGAUAAUGACGGUACCCGGAGAAGAAGCCCCGGCUAACUUCGUG
rnacentral:rRNA from 1 species